rnacentral:rRNA from 1 species
AUAGGGGAGCCGGAGGGAAACCGAGUCUUAAUUGGGCGUUAAGUUGCAGGGUAUAGACCCGAAACCCGGUGAUCUAGCCAUGGGCAGGUUGAAGGUUGGGUAACACUAACUGGAGGACCGAACCGACUAAUGUUGAAAAAUUAGCGGAUGACCUGUGGCUGGGGGUGAAAGGCCAAUCAAACCGGGAGAUAGCUGGUUCUCCCCGAAAGCUAUUUAGGUAGCGCCUCGUGAAUUCAUCUCCGGGGGUAGAGCACUGUUUCGGCUAGGGGGCCAUCCCGGCUUACCAACCCGAUGCAAACUGCGAAUACCGGAGAAUGUUAUCACGGGAGACACACGGCGGGUGCUAACGUCCGUCGUGAAGAGGGAAACAACCCAGACCGCCAGCUAAGGUCCCAAAGUCAUGGUUAAGUGGGAAACGAUGUGGGAAGGCCCAGACAGCCAGGAUGUUGGCUUAGAAGCAGCCAUCAUUUAAAGAAAGCGUAAUAGCUCACUGGUCGAGUCGGCCUGCGCGGAAGAUGUAACGGGGCUAAACCAUGCACCGAAGCUGCGGCAGCGACACUGUG